rnacentral:rRNA from 1 species
GUGGGGAAUAUUGGACAAUGGGCGAAAGCCUGAUCCAACCAUGCCGCGUGAGUGAUGAAGGCCUUAGGGUUGUAAAGCUCUUUCAGUAGGGAAGAUAAUGACGGUACCUACAGAAGAAGCCCCGGCUAACUUCGUGCCAGCAGCCGCGGUAAUACGAAGGGGGCUAGCGUUGUUCGGAUUUACUGGGCGUAAAGCGCACGUAGGCGGAUUGGUCAGUUAGAGGUGAAAUCCUGGAGCUCAACUCCAGAACUGCCUUUAAUACUGCCAGUCUAGAGUCCAGAAGAGGUGAGUGGAACUCCUAGUGUAGAGGUGGAAUUCGUAGAUAUUAGGAAGAACGCCAGUGGCGAAGGCGGCUCACUGGUCUGGUACUGACGCUGAGGUGCGAAAGCGUGGGGAGCAAACAGGAUUAGAAACCCCAGUAGUCC